rnacentral:rRNA from 1 species
GAUGAACGCUGGCGGCAUGCCUAACACAUGCAAGUCGAACGGGAGGAUCUUUCGGGGUCCGAGAGUGGCGAACGGGUGAGUAACACGUUGGUGACCUGCCCUAAAGCGGGGGACAACAGAUGGAAACGUCUGCUAAUACCCCAUGGGCCUUAAAGCGUUGGAAGUUUAAGGUAAANCGGUAAANCACUUUAGGAGGGCCAGCGGGCUAUCAGCUAGUUGGUAGGGUAACGGCCUACCAAGGCGAAGACGGC